rnacentral:rRNA from 1 species
UUCCGGUUGAUCCUGCCGGACCCGACUGCUAUCAGAGUGGGACUAAGCCAUGCGAGUCGACGUAGCAAUGCGUGGCGAACGGCUCAGUAACACGUAGUCAACAUGCCCAGGGGACGUGGAUAACCUCGGGAAACUGAGAAUAAACCACGAUAGGUCACGAUUUCUGGAAUGGAUCAUGGCCUAAAUCUACAUGGCCCCUGGAUUGGACUGCGGCCGAUCAGGCUGUUGGUGAGGUAAUGGCCCACCAAACCUAUAACCGGUACGGGCUCUGAGAGGAGAAGCCCGGAGAUGGGCACUGAGACAAGGGCCCAGGCCCUAUGGGGCGCAGCAGGCGCGAAACCUCUGCAAUAGGCGAAAGCCUGACAGGGUUACUCUGAGUGAUUUCCGCUAAGGGGAUCUUUUGGCACCUCUAAAAAUGGUGCAGAAUAAGGGGUGGGCAAGUCUGGUGUCAGCCGCCGCGGUAAUACCAGCACCCCGAGUGGUCGGGACGAUUAUUGGGCCUAAAGCAUCCGUAGCCGGUUCUGCAAGUCUUCCGUUAAAUCCAGCCGCUCAACGGAUGGGCCGCGGAGGAUACUACAGGACUAGGAGGCGGGAGAGGCAAGCGGUACUCAGUGGGUAGGGGUAAAAUCCUUUGAUCCAUUGAAGACCACCAGUGGCGAAGGCGGCUUGCCAGAACGCGCUCGACGGUGAGGGAUGAAAGCUGGAGGAGCAAACCGGAUUAGAUACCCGGGUAGUCCCAG